CAGCGGGGCGCGGCGGCGGAUGGCGGCCAGGCGCUGUCGCUGUCGGGGCAGUCCUACUGGCUGGACCUGUGGCUCUUCGUCCUCUUUGACCUGGCGCUCUUCGUGGUCAUCUACCUGCUGCCCUAAAGGCGCCGAGCCCAGAGCCACUGUCUAAUCACAGGAUGCACCUUACGAAAACAAGCAGUGGAAGAGGAGGACCACUUGUGCAGUAUAAACAACUGGGAACACGACUCUGCUUGCAUCUGAUUGCACGAUGCAUAUAUAUACAUGCUGUAUCAUAAUAGAUCUCUGGCUGUAUCACCAGUGUUACUGUUCAGGUUUUAACCUGUAUCCUGUUUCUGUGUUCUAAACUGUGCCUUAAAGGUCACGUAAGACAGCUUGACUGUGCUUUUGUAAUUAGUGCCUAAAGGUUUGUUAAGCAGAAAUGAAAAUCUGUACUGUUUGAAUAAAAUCAACUGAAAGGACAGACUGCAGAGUGGCCGAGAAUAAAAUCCAGCUCUUAUGUAGA